rnacentral:snRNA from 1 species
UGGCUGAAAUAUCUGUCACCACAUUGAUUGCCAGGAUUGAUUUGGCUGAUCUGGAUGGGUAUUUGUUUCCU